rnacentral:tRNA from 1 species
UGGGCGGUAUCUCAGUGGCAGAGCGGUUUGUUUGUCGCAGGUUCGAUUCCUGCUCACCCAC